UACGGAGGGUGCAAGCGUUAUCCGGAUUCACUGGGUUUAAAGGGUGCGUAGGCGGGCAGGUAAGUCCGUGGUGAAAUCUCUGGGCUUAACUCAGAAACUGCCAUGGAUACUAUUUGUCUUGAAUGUUGUGGAGGUAAGCGGAAUAUGUCAUGUAGCGGUGAAAUGCUUAGAUAUGACAUAGAACACCAAUUGCGAAGGCAGCUUACUACACAAAUAUUGACGCUGAGGCACGAAAGCGUGGGGAUCAAACAGG
rnacentral:rRNA from 1 species